GGAGGGUGCAAGCGUUGUUCGGAAUUACUGGGCGUAAAGAGCGUGUAGGCGGUUUGGCAAGUCAGAUGUGAAAGCCCUGGGGCUCAACCCAGGAAGUGCAUUUGAAACUGCCAUUCUAGAGUAUGGGAGAGGAGAGUGGAAUUCCCGGCGUAGAGGUGAAAUUCGUAGAUAUUGGGAGGAACACCCGUGGCGAAGGCGACUCUCUGGACCAAUACUGACGCUGAGACGCGAAAGCGUGGGGAGCAAACAGGAUUAGAUACCCUGGUAGUCCACGCCGUAAACGAUGAGAACUAGGUGUAGCGGGUAUUGACCCCUGCUGUGCCGUAGCUAACGCAUUAAGUUCUCCGCCUGGGGAGUACGGUCGCAAAGGCUA
rnacentral:rRNA from 1 species